rnacentral:rRNA from 1 species
GAUGAACGCUGGCGGCGUGCCUAAUACAUGCAAGUCGAGCGAACAGAUAAGGAGCUUGCUCCUUUGACGUUAGCGGCGGACGGGUGAGUAACACGUGGGUAACCUACCUAUAAGACUGGGAUAACUUCGGGAAACCGGAGCUAAUACCGGAUAACAUUUGGAACCGCAUGGUUCUAAAGUGAAAGAUGGUUUUGCUAUCACUUAUAGAUGGACCCGCGCCGUAUUAGCUAGUUGGUAAGGUAACGGCUUACCAAGGCGACGAUACGUAGCCGACCUGAGAGGUGGAUCGGCCACACUGGAACUGAGACACGGUCCAGACUCCUACGGGAGGCAGCAGUAGGGAAUCUUCCGCAAUGGGCGAAAGCCUGACGGAGCAACGCCGCGUGAGUGAUGAAGGGUUUCGGCUCGUAAAACUCUGUUAUUAGGGAAGAACAAACGUGUAAGUAACUGUGCACGUCUUGACGGUACCUAAUCAGAAAGCCACGGCUAACUACGUG